rnacentral:rRNA from 1 species
AAUGAACGCUGGCGGCAUGCCUUACACAUGCAAGUCGAGCGACAGCGUGGGCUGCGUGCUGGCGGCGAGCUGCGAACGGGUGGGUAAUGCAUCCGUAGAUGCCCAAUCGCGGUGAAUAACACCUCGAAAGAAGUGCUGAUACCGCAAACGUCCAGAGGUUGAAACCGGGGGAUCGCCAGACCUCGCGCGAUUUGAUUGGCCUAGGUCAGAUGAGCCAGUUGGAGGGGCAAUGGCCUAACAAGGCGACGAUCCGUAGCCGGUCUGAGUGGGUGAUCCGCCACACUGGGACUGAGACACGGCCCAGACUCCUGCGGGAGGAAGCAGUGGGGAAUUUUAGGCGAGGGGGGAAAGCCUGAUAGAGCAAUACCGCGGGAAUGAUGAAGGACUUCGGCUGGUAAAGCUAUGUAGGCAGGAAGGAAGCAAUGCGCUCUAACCUGGGCCGAUAAUGACGGUACCUGAAGAAGAAGCACCGGCUAACUACGUG